rnacentral:rRNA from 1 species
UACGUAGGGGCCUAGCGUUGUCCGGAAUCACUGGGCGUAAAGCGCACGUAGGCGGCUUUUUAAGUCAGGGGUGAAAUCCUGGAGCUCAACUCCAGAACUGCCUUUGAUACUGAGAAGCUUGAGUCCGGGAGAGGUGAGUGGAACUGCGAGUGUAGAGGUGAAAUUCGUAGAUAUUCGCAAGAACACCAGUGGCGAAGGCGGCUCACUGGCCCGGUACUGACGCUGAGGUGCGAAAGCGUGGGGAGCAAACAGG